rnacentral:rRNA from 1 species
GAUACCCUAUUAUUGAGAAUGUAAUUAUUUAAACUAUAAUUAUUAUAAGCUAAGAUCUUUAAAAUUAAAAAAUUUGGCGGUAUUUUAGUCUUUUCAGAGGAACCUGUUUUUUAAUUGAUAGUCCACGAUUAUUUUUACUUUAAUUUUAAAUUUACAUAUCGUCGUUUAUAAUGAUUUUAAGAGAAUUUUAAUUUUUAAGAUUUUAAAUUAAACACUAAUUCAGAUCAAGGUGUAGUUUAUAUUAAAGAAUAAAUGGGUUACAUUAUAUUUAUAUGUAGUUUUAAAAUUUAAAAUUUUAAAUAAAAUGGAUUUGAUAGUAAAUUUGUUUAUUUUAAAAGUUGAUUAAGCUCUAAAAUAUACACACAUCGCC